rnacentral:rRNA from 1 species
CUAGCGUUGCUCGGAAUCACUGGGCGUAAAGGGUGCGUAGGCGGGUCUUUAAGUCAGGGGUGAAAUCCUGGAGCUCAACUCCAGAACUGCCUUUGAUACUGAAGAUCUUGAGUUCGGGAGAGGUGAGUGGAACUGCGAGUGUAGAGGUGAAAUGCGUAGAUAUCUGGAGGAACACCGGUGGCGAAGGCGGCAUCCUGGACCGAUAUUGACGCUGAUGCGCGAAAGCCAGGGGAGCAAACAGG